UACGGGGGGGGGUAAGCGUUGUUCGGAAUUACUGGGCGUAAAGGGCUCGUAGGCGGCCAACUAAGUCAUACGUGAAAUCCCUCAGCUUAACUGGGGAACUGCGUGUGAUACUGGAUGGCUUGGAUUUGGGAGAGGGAUGCGGAAUUCCAGGUGUAGCGGUGAAAUGCGUAGAUAUCUGGAGGAACACCGGUGGCGAAGGCAGCCCCCUGGGUCAACACUGACGCUCAUGCACGAAAGCGUGGGGAGCAAACGGG
rnacentral:rRNA from 1 species